rnacentral:tRNA from 1 species
ACCCUGGUGGUUCAGUGGCUGUGACUCUGCACUCUGAAUGCAGCAGGACCAGGUUUGAUUCCUGGCCAGGGAA